UUAGUGUAUGUGAACUUAUUUGUAACAGCAAGGUUAAUAAUUUAUUUAGUUGCCUCAGAACAUUCUGUGAGUUUGAUUAAGGUAAUAUUCUGGAGAUAUCUUUCUUGCCUUCCUGAGCCCUGGAGAGCCUCCUUUUAAAAAUGAAAUGUGUCAGCUGAGUGUGCAGAAAAAGAGAGGAUAAAGCAAGAAUCACAAAGCAGGCUGCAGAAAAACAUUCCUUAACAAGUAUAUUAUAUAACUAUAUUUUAUAUAUACAUAUAUAUGUAUAUGGGAAAACAUCUUACAUAUACUUUAUGUAACACUCUAGUCAGCAACUGUGAAUAAGAGAGAGGGUAUCAGAGCCCCUUGCCUGAUGUCUGACAAACAGGUUGAAGAACCAUCCAUUUUCUUCUUGAACUGAUGAGCCACAAACAUUGCAGUAAUGAUUUCCUUCAAGUGUCUGUGUGGAAUCCUCUGAGUGUGAAUCCAAUUAAGUAAAGAAGUAGCAAAAAGAGCUGCUCCUUUGCGGACCAUUCCUGUAACCAGUGCCUUCCAAAGACAGCGAUGAAGCAAAGAGCCUGAACCAUGAUCUGUUGCCAAAUGUGGCCACAUCUGGAGGCCCAAUGAGACUUUCAGGUCUACCUGAACAUUUCAGGAGUCUGCAAAUCUAAAGUUAAAUGUGUCACAACUCUUUUUCUGUGGACACGGUUCAUUAUAAAUUCCUCAGCCUUGCUUGAGUAUUGAAGCAAUUAUAACUUCCUACAGCCUCCAAAGUUUCUUUGUCAGAACAUUUCUGUGUUUUUUUCCCAGUGGUUGUCCAACUCUGACACAGCCACUGAGGAUGACACACACUGUUGUUGGCAGGAGAGUGGAUUAGAGCUCCAGCAACAGUCACCCUGUGACUGAGAUGCCUUUGCAAGUUAAGAGUGCUCAGGGAGUCACAAGCCUGGGGAAAGCACAGCCUGGAGAGAGGAAGCUGUGGUGAGGCGAGAGAGGCAAGGACAACUGGAAAACCUGACAAGACCCAUCAAAGGAGAAAUACAAAGCUGAGAUUCGAAAAGGACAAUUUU
rnacentral:lncRNA from 1 species